AAGGCCCCUACCUUCUUGGUUCUCUGUUAGUUGAGGCGUGGGUUUAGAGAGAAAGGUCGCUAUUGUUCCUCGUUGGGGAUUUUCUGUUAUUAGUUGGGUUGCUUGGCGGAUGUGUAAGUUCUUGGUUUUUUAUGUUAGUCUUCGUUGAAGCGUGGGUUUUGCGAGUAGGUAGCCAUUGUCCCCUACCUUGGUUCAGAAAGAGUCGCCAUCAUCAUUUGUUUGGGGUUUGAAUUAGCUUGACUGCUACUUGUUAGGUAGGCAUUUCUCAGAACUUCUGAUGGGUUUUAGACUUAAGUUGGUUAUGGUUAGGGUUGGCGGUUCUUGAGCUUGCCAUUAUUCUUGACGAAUUUUGAUGCUAAAAAACUUGGAAACUAUGCUGUCCCCAUGUCGAGAAGCUGAGUAACAUUCUGCAUGUACAAUGUUCUGAAUGGCACCUCUUAAUGUUAGGAACUUCAGCAGUUCAGCCAUCCAAUCUAGGACUUGCAUCCAAUUGUGCAGGCUGCAUGGAAGUCUCAUUUACCUCUGCGUGAACAUCAUGAACACAGACACUAUUCGAAGGCUCAUGUUUACAUAGCAGUGGUGUUGCUGUCCAAUGUGGCGUGUUGUUGCAGCCUAUGGUGGUGAAAGAUAUCUGCAUCAAGUUGCUGUUCCUUGUGCAUCCAAGGUGCUGGUUUUGUGCUACAAAAGUGACAUCCAGUAUUGUGUUAAAUUGCUAUUUGUGUCUGCAGUUUACCUUUUAAAUAUUGAGAAG